GGGGGUGCGGCUCAGUGGUAGAGUGCUUGCCUAGUACGUGCGAGGCCCUGGGUUCAAUUCCCAGCACUGCAA
rnacentral:tRNA from 1 species